rnacentral:rRNA from 1 species
AGCGAACGCUGGCGGCAUGCCUAACACAUGCAAGUCGAACGAACCUUUCGGGGUUAGUGGCGUCCGGGUGAGUAACACGUGGGAACGUGCCUUUAGGUUCGGCAUACCUCAGGGACACUUUUUCUAAUACCGAAUGUGCCCUUCGGGGGGAAGAUUUAUCGCCUUUAGAGCGGCCCGCGUCUGAUUAGCUAGUUGUUUGAGUUAAUGGCUCACCAAGGCCACGAUCAGUAGCUGGUCGGAGAGGAUGGUCAGCCACAUUGGGACUGAGACACGGCCCAAACUCCUACGCGAGGCAGCAGUGGGGAAUCUUGCAAAAUGGGAGAAAGAAUGACGCAGCCAGGACGAGUGAAUGAUGAAGGUAGUAGGAUUGUAAAAUGCUUUCAACGGGGACGAUAAUGACGGUACCCGGAGAAGAAGCCCCGGCUAACUACGUG